rnacentral:pre_miRNA from 7 species
AGGUCCUCAAUAAGUAUUUGUUGAAAGAAUAAAUGAACCAACAAGUCUUAUUUGAGCACCUGUUAUG